GAAAACAUCAAUGUGUGCCUCUUCUCUCAGCUCACCUCGUCGAAUCUUCGCCACGGGCCGUCGCGCUGGAAAUCGCUUCCGGCAGCGGUGGCCACCAAGAUACAAAUUAAAGCUACAAAAAGAACCAUAUCAACCUCCCCAAUCUGAUUCUGGUCACCAUUUCACUUCAAGUUUUUUGCAUUAUCCGAAUUGAUGGAUUAAUCUGAAGAACUCUAGAUCCUAAACAUGAAAUUAAAUUAUGCUCCCUCUAAGUCAAAGCCCUAGACGUCAGGGCUUUGACUCGUCUGGCCUUAAACUACGACCUGGUGUCAUUAAUGGUUCAGAUGAUUGCUAAAGAGAAUACUCACCCUUCGAAGAAGAUGAACUUGACCAGAGCAGUGUCAGCGCUGGACAAUUCCAGGUUUUGUGCAAGGCUGGUGUGGUUUGAGGGCUAUGCAUUACUUUGCUGAUUGUUGUUGCAUUGCUACUGUUAAGCUACUGAUGCAGUAGUUUGUCUGGUAUAAUACAUGUACAUGGCCUGUUUAUACCUUGGUUCAAAGCUUGAUUAAUAGAUGCAUGACACUAGGUUAUGGCUUGUGGUAUGUACUUGCGUUGCCAACUGACUUGGUAUGGCUGCAACCUUGCAUGAUGCCAUGAUUUUAUUGGCCAUAACCAUGUUCAUAUAAUGAUAAGCCAAUGUUUUGUUUCCUUGGUGAUGAACCAGAGUUGCAUCGGACUUUUCAAUGGCCAUUCUUUGGACUGCCAUCAGGCUAUUUCAUAAUGUAUAAGCUGAUUAGUUGAGUUGUGAUCGGAAAAAUAGCAAGUGUACUAUUUUGCCUGUUAUAAAAAUAAAGGGGAAAUUCCCCGAAUAUCGAUCUCAA